GAUGAAGAACGUAGCGAAAUGCGAUACGUAAUGUGAAUUGCAGAAUUCAGUGAAUCAUCGAAUCUUUGAACGCAUAUUGCGCUCUUUGGUAUUCCGAAGAGCAUGCUUGUUUGAGUAUCAGUAAACACCUCAAAGCUUUUGGAUUUUUUAAUCGAAAAGCUUUGGACUUGAGCAAUCCCAACACCAAUCUUUUUGAGAUCGGUGGCGGGUUGCUUGAAAUGCAGGUGCAGCUGGACAUUCUCCUGAGCUAAAAGCAUAUUCAUUUAGUCCCGUCAAACGGAUUAUUACUUUUGCUGCAGCUAACAUAAAGGGAGUUUGACCGUAUUGGCCGACUGAUGCAGGAUUUCACAAGGGUCGGCAACGAUUCUUGUUAAACUCGAUCUCAAAUCAAGUAAGACUACCCGCUGAACUUAAGCAUAUCAAUAAGCGGAGGA
rnacentral:misc_RNA from 1 species